rnacentral:rRNA from 1 species
CGUACGGAAAUUAAAAAUUUUAGUGGCGAACGGGUGAGUAACACGUGAGAAUUUGCCUUUAGGACGAGGAUAAUAAGUAGAAAUAUUUACUAAUACUCUAUAUGUCGGUUGAUGAAAGAAAUAUUUCGCCUAAAGAGAAGCUCGCGUCUGAUUAGCUAGUUGGUGGAGUAAGAGCCUACCAAGGCGACGAUCAGUAGCUGGUUUGAGAAGAUGAUCAGCCACAUUGGAACUGAGACACGGUCCAAACUCC